rnacentral:lncRNA from 1 species
GGGCGGAACCCUGGUACAUGAAAUUCGUUCUCUUAUUUAAGAGACAAAGAACGCCCUUGUUUUUUCCACCACGUGAUGGCGCAGACAGAAGACAACCAGCAUCUAUGAACCAGGAAGCCCCCACCAGGCACUGAAUCUGCCCCUGCGUGGAUCUUAGACUUGCAGACUCCAGAACUAACCUUACAAUGUCUCUUCUCCAUUAAGAAAACCUACUUCAACAUCUCCAUUGGUUCUCAACAUAGAGGUAUCAUUUACCCUUCCAAAUUUCUUUCUGAAAAUAUUUCCUCAGGAAUAUAGGAAAAGAAAUAUGAAAAAAGCAACAUAAAAUCAACUGAGGCAUGGAUGAAAGUGCAUAUAGAUAAAUCUCUUUGUCUAGUUGAAAUACUGUCUUACGAUAUUGACAGGAAGGAUGCUUCCACAAAUUUUGGCAAACUAGAAAUGGAAAAAAGUUUGAGAUGGAUGUUAAAGUGUUAUUUGGUUGUGUGUUAUAUUGGGACACAGUUAGAGGUAAAAGCAAUGCUGAUACUUAAGAUUUAAAUACUAUCUUAUUAAAUGUUGUUGCUUAAAAAGGUGACUCAUAUUUAAAAAAAUGUUUUUUCACUAUUUUCUGCAUUUGUGCACAUAGAUAUUCUCCCUUACUCUUCUACAAAAGUCACCCAUAUUCUCUUUGUAUUAUCUUACCUUGCUUUGUCUUUAGAGAAAUUCAGAUUGUAGUAUAUAUUUAAUUUUUUAUUGUUUGUUUUUCCAGUAAAGGGAAGCACCAUGAUGACAAGAAAUUUGCUUUAUUCAUAUUGUUUGCACAAUAAUAUAAAUACUAGACUCAAUUUACAAUUCAAUUCUUUUUUGGUGUUGGUUUCUGUUCCUCACAAUUUAUCAUUAAAAAGCAAAUAUAUACAUAAAGACAUAUACAUAAGCAAAAACAAGCAACAAACAUAUACAUAAGUGAAAAACAACAAAA